rnacentral:lncRNA from 1 species
AUAGAUACUAUGCUGAAACAGUUUAGCAUGGAGAAUUUUAAGAAAGGCUAUCUCCCGAUAGGCCAUAGAAUUUCUCUUUCAAAAUGGGAUUGUCCGACAACUCCUCAAGAGAGAGAGAGCGUAUGAGUAGAGUUUCAUAUGUUUCGUCAGUGGGUUCUAUAAUAUACGUCAUGAUAGGUACAAGAUCAGACAUGGCAUACUCACUAGGGGUAAUA